CGUUCUCUGCUAAAAAUAGAGAAUACAGCCUGCCCUAUGUAAAUCUAUAAAUGGCCGCGGUACCCUGACCGUGCAAAGGUAGCGUAAUAUCAUGCCCCUUAAUUAGGGGAUAGUUGAAUGGUUAGACGAGAUCUUAACUGUCUCAUCUUAAACUUAAUAAAAAUUAACUUUUAAGUGAAGAGGCUUAAAUUUACUAAAAAGACGAGAAGACCCUAUCGAGCUUUAAAUAAACGAUAUAAACGUUAAAAGCAUAUUAAUAUUUUCGAUUGGGGCGAUCCUGGAAUAAACAAAACUUCCGGUCAUUAAUCUUUUUCUAUAUAACUGAUCCAGAGAUAUUCUGAAAAUAGAACCAGUUACCGUAGGGAUAACAGCGUUAUUCUUUCUGAGAGCACGCAUCGAAGAAAGAGUUUGCGACCUCGAUGUUGGAUUAAGGAUCCUCUUAGGUGCAGAAGCUUAUUAGGGAAAUCUGUUCGAUUUUUAAUACCUU
rnacentral:rRNA from 1 species